rnacentral:rRNA from 1 species
GAUCAUGGCUCAGGAUGAACGCUAGCUACAGGCUUAACACAUGCAAGUCGAGGGGCAGCAUGACGAUAGCUUGCUAUUGUUGAUGGCGACCGGCGCACGGGUGAGUAACGCGUAUCCAACCUUCCCAUAGCGUAGGGAAUAACCUUGCGAAAGUAAGACUAAUGCCCUAUAACAUUCUUUGCAGACGAUCUAAAGAGAAUUAAAGAUUUAUCGGCUAUGGAUGGGG